CAUUAUCGAAACCCGAAGGUGCAGAGGGGGAGCGGAGAGAUCCGUUCCUUCGAAGCCCUUUUACCUCUUUCACACCAGUGUGCACCCAUUCGCAAGGUCCUUCGGGACCUGCGCAUUCUAUCUCGAACUCGCAUGUCUACAGAAUGUCGCUAGCAUUUGAAAUGAAAUACAACUUUCAGCAACGGAUCUCUUGGCUCUCGCAUCGAUGAAGAACGCAGCGAAUCGCGAUAAGUAAUGUGAAUUGCAGAUUUUCCGUGAAUCAUCGAAUCUUUGAACGCACCUUGCGCUCCUUGGUAUUCCGAGGAGCAUGCCUGUUUGAGUGUCAUCGAAAUCUCAAACCGAGCCAUUUUGACUUUGUUCAAAGGCUUGGGUUGGAUCGUUGGGAGUCUGCGGGCGACCCUGUCUGGGACGUCGGCUCUCCUGAAAUGCAUUAGCGGUGGGCAUGCAAGCCUUGCAUGGCGACCAGCCUCUCCCGACGUCAUAAUGAUCGUCGCGGGCUGCGAGCUUCGAAGGACGGUGUCCCAUGCUCCCUAACUGCUUGGCAAGCCC
rnacentral:misc_RNA from 1 species